rnacentral:rRNA from 1 species
GUGGGGAAUCUUCCGCAAUGGACGAAAGUCUGACGGAGCGACGCCGCGUGAGUGAAGAAGGCCUUCGGGUCGUAAAGCUCUGUCAUCAGGGACGAACGGCCGGUGGAGUGGAAAGCCACCGGAUUGACGGUACCUGAGAAGGAAGCCACGACUAACUACGUGCCAGCAGCCGCGGUAAUACGUAGGUGGCAAGCGUUGUCCGGAAUUAUUGGGCGUAAAGCGCGCGCAGGUGGGAUCUUAAGUCCAUUUUGAAAGUUCGGAGCUCAACUCCGUGAUGGGAUGGAAACUGGGAUUCUUGAGUACCGGAGAGGAAAGCGGAAUUCCCCGUGUAGCGGUGAAAUGCGUAGAUAUGGGGAGGAACACCAGUGGCGAAGGCGGCUUUCUGGACGGUGUCUGACACUGAGGCGCGAAAGCUAGGGGAGCGAACGGGAUUAGAAACCCCGGUAGUCC